GCCCAUAUAGCUCAGUAGGCAGAGCGUAUCCUUGGUAAGGAUAAGGUCGGCGGUUCGAUCCCGCCUAUGGGCU
rnacentral:tRNA from 1 species